rnacentral:ncRNA from 23 species
UGGUGAAGACGGUGUAAUUCCGUCGCUGUGCCGCAACGGUUAAAGCCCGAUCCCA